CCUACGGGAGGCAGCAGUAGGGAAUAUUGCGCAAUGGGCGAAAGCCUGACGCAGCAACGCCGCGUGAAGGAAGAAGGCUUUCGGGUUGUAAACUUCUUUUCUCAGGGACGAAACUAGUGACGGUACCUGAGGAAUCAGCCACGGCUAACUACGUGCCAGCAGCCGCGGUACUACGGAGGUGGCAAGCGUUAUCCGGAUUUAGUGGGUGUAAAGGGCGUGUAGGCGGGACUGCAAGUCAGAUGUGAAAACCACGGGCUCAACCUGUGGCCUGCAUUUGAAACUGUAGUUCUUGAGUACUGGAGAGGCAGAUGGAAUUCCUGGUGUAGCGGUGAAAUGCGUAGAGAUUAGGAGGAACACCAGUGGCGAAGGCGGUCUGCUGGACAGCAACUGACGCUGAGGCGCGAAAGCGUGGGGAGCAAACAGGAUUAGAUACCCGAGUAGUC
rnacentral:rRNA from 1 species